rnacentral:rRNA from 1 species
GACGAACGCUGGCGGCGUGCUUAACACAUGCAAGUCGAGCGGUAAGGCCCUUUUUGGGGGUACGACAGCGGCGAACGGGUGAGUAACACGUGGGUGACCUGCCCUCAGCUCUGGGAUAAGCCUGGGAAACUGGGUCUAAUACUGGAUAUGACCUUUCCUCGCAUGGGGUUGGGUGGAAAGUUUUUUCGGCUGGGGAUGGGCCCGCGGCCUAUCAGCUUGUUGGUGGGGUGAUGGCCUACCAAGGCGACGACGGGAGCCGGCCUGAGA